CGAGACAGUGAUGUGGAGCAAAUCUCAAAAAAUUAGUCCCAGUUCGGAUUGCAGGCUGCACCUCGCCUGCAUGAAGUCGGAAUUGCUAGUAAUCGCGGAUCAGCAUGCCGCGGUGAAUACGUUCCCGGGCCUUGUACACACCGCCCGUCACACCAUGGGAGCCGGUAAUACCCGAAGUCAGUAGUCCAACCUCGUGAGGACGCUGCCGAAGGUAGGAUUGGCGACUGGGGUGAAGUCGUAACAAGGUACC
rnacentral:rRNA from 1 species